CCAGUACAGACUGGCCUUAUGCCUUUAAACUGCAACAGCUUUGUCCCUUCUCACUCUGGCUUAGUGCUUGGGGAUGGGGUCUGUUUUCCAGGCACUGGCAGGGGAGCUGGGGUCCACGUCAUUGCAAACAGGAGGGGAUGUCUCUGCAGAUGAACUCUCCAGUAAGAUCACCCUUGCUAUGGAAGAACCUUGAGGCCUCUGCCCAAAGACAAACUGGUGGGACUGUGCUCCCCGGAGGUAGAUGGGAUAAGUUGUCAUAGUUUAGGUGUCAGGGUGGGGGGUUGGCUGAGGUCUGCCAGCUUAAUGGGAUGUAUUCAGAGUGGAUCCUGUGUUCCCGCUUGGGACCUUGAAACUGCUGGUCCUGUGAGCCCCCCUGGCUGCAGAGAGACCGGUUAAGGGGCCUGGUAAGUUACUAAAAACAGGAGCUGGUCUGACAACUUGAGCCAUCUAGGUAUUCAUCUCCACCAUUUUAAUCUGCUGCUGUGAUCCUUCACCCAGGACCUGGCAAGGAAAUUCUGCCAUCCCGCUGGCCUGACCCUAUCCCAGAGGCUCCGCCAACCGAUUCCAUCCACGUCCGGGGGUCAGGCAGCCCUGGAAGGCGACUCACUUAGCGACGGAGAUUCAUGCUGCGCAUCUCACGCCACCACAACUGGGCUUCUCCGGGGGCGAAGUAAGGCCAUGGAAAAGAACUGCUCUAGGCUGGGAUUUCCAGAGCAGCUUGUGGGCGUUAGGUACCCAACUGGGAGGGGGGAAGCAUGCGGGGGCCCAGUGUUUCCUGAAAAUGAGGCCCCUUCCAGUUGGGCCCACCAAAAUUAGGACACUCAAAAUUGCUAGUUGCUUUUUAAAAUCUUGCCCUGGGUGACUUGUCCAGGGUCACGCAGAGAGGCUGUGAGUCCAGGAACUGC
rnacentral:lncRNA from 1 species